ensembl:lncRNA
CUUAUAUUUAACAGAUUUAUUUUAUUGUAACUGUAACUGUGCACUAAUUCUUAGAAAUAAAUCAAGUGUUUGAGCCUGAUGUUUUUCAAGCAAGAGUAUACUAAUUAUUUUAUACUUGGCUCUUCUAAGUUGAUAAUAAAGGGACAUGUUUCAUGAAAAAAAAUGAGAGCUCCUUUGGUUUUCUCAAGGGUCUUUUAAUUCUUUUGUAUUCAAAUAAUUAUUUUUAAAUCCAUUACUUCAUCUUCAUUUCUCUUCAAUUGUCAAAUAGCCUAAGUUUACUAUAUUUUCAACUAUCAGUGACUUUUCAUUUUACUAACCACUUUUAUUGAUUUCAUAAACUCUAAACUCCUUUCACUAAGAUAUGAGAUUUCAUUUUUCAAUUGCUUUCUACUGUGUUUGCAUUUGAAUUUCCAGAUGCUUACAGUAUCUGACAUUCAACAUGUCUCUUCUAAACAGAUAUUUUUACAAUGGAUGCGGAGGGUUGCUUGUGUUGUGUUCAGGAAGAUGCAAGAAACGGAACUCAUAGAACUUCAAUUCAAUAGAGGAAUGUUUUCACGUAAUGACAACUUCUGCUAUCUCUGCAACGUGUAACGAUAGGAGCUUGAAUCAUUAAUACUGGAUUCCACAAACCCUCAAGGCUGUUUUUUCAGGUUGAAUCAUCUCUGCCUCUUACCACAGAGAACUGGCAUGAAAGCACAGAACAAACAUCUACAAUGUACUUCAAGGUCAGACAACCGGCAACUAGAAGACAACUGGAAAAGACGGACACAUCCUGAUGUGGGAACUCCUUCUAACUGCACUGUUGAACUGCUCCUGUAGUCUUGUGCACAAUAUGUAUGGCAGCUCACAAUCUUUCAGAUCAGAAGGACCCGUUCUCCUGUUCUAUGUCGAGCAUGGAAAAGAACACUUCGUGAUCCAUCUACAAUCGAAGAAAAUUCUUUCAGGCAGUGUGCUUUUUGUAAUGAAGGAUUAACACGAAUUAACAAUAAAUUUUUUAAGUUUGAAAAUGUCACAGAAAUAUUUAGGGAACACACACAUACAGGUAGAACCAGUAUCUUGUUUAUUUACCCUGACAAUUCACUAUCUUUGUGUGGUUUUAUACAGGUGUUGACUUUCAAAGCUAAAAAAAAAAAAAAAAAAAAGGAUGUAAUCCCAGCUACUCGGGAGGCUGAGGCUGAGGCUGAGGCAGGAGAAUUGCCUGAACCCAGGAGGCGGAGGUUGCAGUGAGCCAAGAUCGCACCAUUGCACUCCAGCCUGGGUAACAAGAGUGAAAUUCCGUCUCAAAAAAAAGGAAAUAUUCAAUAUUCUCUGUCUUCCCUUAAAAAAAUCCCACUGGAAUUGAACAUAGCUAUAACUUGGGUUAUACAUAUUUUAGGAUCACCUAAAAUAACCUACUAUCAAUUUAAUAUAGCAGAAGACAGUCUAGCUACAUACUUAAAACUAAUACAGAUGAAAAUCAUGAGUUUUUUUUAUGUUUAUCCAAAUAUUAUCCUGAUAUCUAUGGAGCCCCAUAUUAUUUGAAGCUAAGGUACUCCUCAUUAUAUUAUAUAUAACCCAGCAUGACAUUUUGGUGAACAUAAGAGUAACUAGCACUUCAAAGUUUUAUGUUGCCAUUCUUUUAUUUUUAACUGGAACCUGCACCUUAGAAAUGAG